UGGCAAUGAUGACUAUAUGUAUUCCUGC
rnacentral:piRNA from 1 species